rnacentral:rRNA from 1 species
AGCGAACGCUGGCGGCGUGCCUAAUACAUGCAAGUCGAACGUAAAAAGGGAAACCUUAGUUAUCUGGCGUACGGGUGAGUAACGCGAAUGAAAUCUACCUCAGAUUCUUGUAUGACUUGCCUAAAGGCGGGCUAAUACUGCUUAGAGCGAGUAAACUCGUAAGACAGAUUUUCCGAAAAGGGAGGCCGGAAUUGCCUUCGCUUAUAGAUGAACCCGCGCCUCAUUAGCUAGUUGGUAAGGUAACGGCUUACCAAGGCGAUGAUGGGUAGCUGGACUGAGAGGAGGGACAGCCCACAUGGAAACGGAGAACGGUCCAGAAUCCUACGGGGGGCAGCCGGGAGGGAACUUGCGCAAUGGGGGAAAGGCCGACGGAGGCAAGCCGCGUGAGGGAAGGAGGCCUUCGGGUUGUAAAGCUCCGUCGGAUAGGAAGGACAUCAUGAUAGUGAAUAGCUGUGAGGAUUGACGGUACCAAAACAGAAAGCACCGGCUAACUCCGUG